UUUAUUUGUAUAUAAGUGAAGCUCACUUAUAUACAAAUUUGAUGUUGUUUAACAAGUGUAUUGUCAUAAUGUUUUAUUGGAAUGGUUUAUCAAGGUCAUCUGAUCAAUGGGAAUCCUGUUGCUAUUAAGAAGCUUCUAAAUAAUCUACUUUUGAGGAGAUUGGAUGAUCCUGCAAAUGCCUCAUUUUGGGAGGUACUCUAUUAAGAUUCUUAUUCUGCUAAUAGAUUAGAGGGUGGAAUAUAUUGGGUUAAGCAAAACAUUAGGUUUUGCAUUGUUAUAUUCUGUUUUGCAUUUUAUCUCUUGCAAAAACUGAGUUGUUAUCAAGCUACUAUGAUGAAGUGAUUGGUGAGUUACAUGUUGAGGAAUUGUUAUGCAUUCAUUCAGAUUUUCGAGUAUUAACUUACAGUGAUGAAUGUAUUGUUAGAUCUAGUUGAUAUGUUUGCAGCAACUGUUAAGAAUUUCUUGACUAUGUUGUGACUUAGGUACUUCACAAUUAUAUUGAUAUUGAUUGGCAGCAA